rnacentral:lncRNA from 1 species
UUCUGGUAUAUGUAUAAACACACAAAACAUUAGGCUAUUUCUAUAUAUAUGAUACUGCUUCAAGCUGAUUUAAUCUUUGGUUUUUGGAUGUAUAUUAUUAGAUUUGAACACUAAUUAUAACCAGAUUAUAUCAUGUCACUGCAGUAACAAAAUAUAAAUAAAAUUUUACAUCUCUGAUCUUGUGUGACAGUUAUGUAACAUACAUAUGAUGUAAUACACCCUUAACAUGUAUGUGUGUGUGUAUGACUGAAUGCUCAUCAAUCAUUUUAAUUCAAAUUCAAUUCAACUACACAUUUAUAUCUCUCAUAACUGAGGAGUUAUUACUGGUCAUAUUAUUUAUUUAUUUAUCUUCAAUAUACUUUUAAUUGGUAUAUCAGUUCUGAUACAUGCUUUAGAUAUCUUUUCUGAAAAUUCAUUUUCGCAUGUUGAAUAAGAAAGAAGCCCUUCUUUUGUGAACUACAGUUAAAUUUUGAAAGUUUCUUGCUGUUAGCAUGAACUUUAGUAUGUUUACAUUGACUCCAUAGCAAGGACUUCUGUAAUACAAAGGAGCUACUGCACAAUCGCUUGAUUUACUAGAAAUAACAGCCACAUAUCCCCCAAUUCACAGCCUACACAUACACAUUCAUCGACACACAUCUUAAAAAAAGAGGCAUAGAUGUAGUAGACAAUAUAGUUUUAGAUAUAUUGUCUGACAUGAUGGCCAUUACUGGAAUGUGUUUGAUCAUAGACCUGCUCAAUCUCAGGGCUGUCCUGAGACUGAAAAAGAUACAUUAGAUAAUAUGAUCUCUGUUAUAUAAAAUGAAAAUAUGGUUAAGGCUGGAUUAUCUUGGGUUUGUUAAAUCUUGGCUGAGUAGAGCUGAAAACAACUUCAGAUAAUAUCACUUAACAUCAGAGACAAAAAAGAACCCUGUUAUUUUCACUCUGUUACUGCAUUUAUGAAUAGCUUGAAGCUGUGUAUUAUAUCACUUUUCAUUAAUCAGUCAUUCUUAAUUUAUAGCUUUCAUUACUGAAUUUAUACUAUUGAGAUGGCAAUUUUGCAAAGGACUGAGAGAGCAAUAGUGAGAGAAAUGUGUGGGAUGAAGCUGUUUGAUAAGAGGAGGACUGAAUAUUUGAUGGGAAUGCUGGUAUUGGAGGAAUCGGUGGAAUGGUUGGCAAGGGCAAAUGGAGUGAGGUGGUAUGGGUAUGUGUAGAGGAGGGAUAAAGAGCAUGUUCUGAGGAGGGUGAUUGCGUUUGAGGUAAAUGAAGCACGAAAGCGAGGUAACCGAGGAAAAGGUGAAGGGGACAGGUGGAGGGGACAGGCGGAGGAGGAGAUUAGGAGGGUUGGUUUGAAAAAAGAGGACACCAAAAACUGGGCAAGAUGGUGAGAUGGUGUGAGGGCGAUUGCUUUGGCAUUGAGGUAGACCUGGCCACCCCACUUAACAGGGGACAAAACCCAGAUUUAAAACACUGGAUAAUGAUGAUGACGACAACCACCACCACCACUACCACCACCUCGUCCUUCUCCUCCUCCUCCUCCUUCUUCUUCUUCUUCUUGUAGCCUGGUUAGUGAAACAUAUUACUGUAAUAAAUUAGUUAUUGUUAUGAUUUUCAAUACUGAGCUUUUAUUUUUGAUUCUCUACACUUCUGAAUAGUGUGUGACAUCAUGUUAAGAUCUAAAAGUUUGUACAUAUUAUUACUAUUUUUCACUGUCAAGAUUGUAAGAAUUUAGCAACUCCUACUGCUUGACAGUAACAUGUAAUUAGUCACUUGUAUUAAAAAAAAACAAAAAAAAAACGAGAAUUAUACAAUUAAAAUUCAAAAAUGACAGUUACUAAGGUGAUAAAAUCACUAUACAUAAGGUACUAUUUAUUUUUGGCUUAUUAACUGGCUUAAACAGUAGUUUGAAAAUUAUUUGGUGAUUCAAAAUGGUGACCUGCUAAAUAACUUUGUCCAUCUUUACAAAAAAAAAAAAAAAAAAGCAAAAUUUAAAACUAUUCUUGUCUGUGACAUUAGAAGCAAACAAAUUAGUAAUGAUUUCUUUCCACUUUAAAUGUAUACCAGCAAAUGACAUUUUAUUUUGAAAUGCAAUUAUAUUCUAAUAUUGAUUAAUUUCUUGAUGAUGGUUCUACUUAUACAUCAUCAAUCCAAACAUUGUCAUAAGUGCUGAGGUGUAAAUUUAGGCAAGUUGCUGUUUUUGACAUUACCAGUAAUAAAUUCAGUUCUUAACCUUGUGGUUAACUGUUUGACUUCUAUGGCUAGAUGCCCUUCCUGUUUCCAAACAAGGAAAUAUUUCCCAUGGCGAGACAUGGAGAACUGAAAACAAACAACAUGUAUGAUGGAGAUGCUUGUUUAUAGCCAUCACAUGAUGUUAAGAACACAAAUAUGCAUACAAACACAUACAUCUACACACACACACACACAUGAGUAAGCACAUAACUGUGAAACAAGGUGGGAAAAAAUAGUACUCAAAUACCGGAGGUAGAGUAAUAUGCUUUAUUUUUAAAGCUGCAAAACCAUCACAAAAACUGCUGCUCAGAGUUUCAUGUUCCC